rnacentral:misc_RNA from 1 species
AUGCUUGAGCACUGGGUUUAUUUGGUUUGUGACCUUAUUACUUAGCAACAUAAGUGAACUUUUAAGCUCCCUUCUCUCUUCAAAUAAACAAUGCUACGCUAAUAUUGAUGUGCCUUAAGGUUUAUUUAAAUCUAUUUAAGAGAAGUUCUUGUUAACAAGACAUCUGGGUUUCUCUAAUGAAUUGGGAAGGCAUCUUUUUACCCAAAGGGCAUGCCUUCCUGCAGUUAUAUAGACAUAAUUCAGUGGUCUCUUUGAUGGGUAAUAUCAAUGAUAUCUUAGUUUGUGAGGGACCCUACUCACAUUUUUUCUUUCCCCUUUUUUUUUGUGUUAGGUUUCUGAGAAGAUACUUAACA